rnacentral:rRNA from 1 species
AGCGAACGCUGGCGGCAGGCCUAACACAUGCAAGUCGAACGAACCUUUCGGGGUUAGUGGCGGACGGGUGAGUAACACGUGGGAACGUGCCUUUAGGUUCGGAAUAACUCAGGGAAACUUGUGCUAAUACCGAAUGUGCCCUUCGGGGGAAAGAUCUAUCGCCUUUAGAGCGGCCCGCGUCUGUUUCGCUAGUUGGUUGAGGUAAUGGCUCACCAAGGCGACGAUCAGUAGCUGGUCUGAGAGGAUGAUCAGCCACAUUGGGACUGAGACACGGCCCAAACUGCGACGGGAGGCAGCAGUGGGGAAUCUUGCGCAAUGGGCGAAAGCCUGACGCAGCCAUGCCGCGUGAAUGAUGAAGGUCUUAGGAUUGUAAAAUUCUUUCACCGGGGACGAUAAUGACGGUACCCGGUGAAGAAGCCCCGGCUAACUUCGUG